UUCUUUAUUUACUUAUUUCUUUUCUUUCUUUCCUUUUCCUUAGGCACUUUUCUUCACAGCCUUUUGGAGGGGGUGGGGGGGCUUUUCCCAGGUUUCGUAAAAAAAGUAGCUUCCACAUCCAGAAUGGGACAGGGGGAGGGAGGGGUUUCAUAAUGGUUGAAGAAGACGACGGAGGGGAAAAAAAAAACUCUAAGCUUUAAUUUUAAUUCUUCUGCCUUUAUUUAUCUGAUUUGUGGCCAGAUGGUGGUGGAGCAAGGAAACCCUUUGUGCAAACGAAGCACACAUGUGAAAGUGCUUCUGUAAUGUAAUCAUUGAGACCGGAAGGGUUCAUACUGUGUCUGAAAAGAGACAAUAGAGCCGGGAUAUAUCAACAUCGCAGAAAUCGAGUUCAUUUGCGAUGCAGGCCCUUUGACUCCGGUUGUCAUGAAAACUUCCUACUUUGAUCAGCAGAGGGUGGCGGGGCCGGGCGCGGCGCGGCGGGGCCGUGCACUUGGCUGCCGCUGCCGCCCCCCCAGUGGGCGCCUUGACCCGGCGGGACGGGGUCCGGCCCCGGUACCGAGGGCGGGGGCUGCUCCUUGACCCCCACCAUCACCACCACCACCACCACCACCACCACCUCCUUGGGUCCGUAGGUAGAAGUCGGACCCCUCGCCGCCGUCGCACUGCGGACAAAGACGCGGAGCAGCUGUCGGAGGCAUAAAGCUGAAAUAGUAGAACCUGGGAGAAGCGAGGUUGUGGGAGCUAUUAUUUUCGGCGCAAAACCCUUGGGAGGUAUUAAAACAGCUGCAUCGGAGCUGGGCGGGCCGGCGGCGGCCAACGGGCCGAACGAGCAAAAGCACAGGACGUCGCCGCGUCGCCGUCGACCCGGCGAGCGAGAGGCCGGGGCGCGUGGCGAGGCGGGAGGCCGCAGGUGGAGGAGGCUUCGCACAGGCCACAGGGCCCCGGCUGCCCCCGCCGCUCCGGCUGACAUUUUUAAUUACGUGUGUCAUGUAACGUGUCAACAGCCGUACAUGCCGGGAGAGGGCGAAAGUCUCGUAGAGGAGCCUGAAGAUGAAAUAUUCUCACUUAUCGCCCAAGAGGCAGACUAUCUAGCUGACAAGCUGUGCAGUGAAAAAUCAGGUGCCUGUGCAGCCCGCUGCUCACCCAGGGCACGGAGGAGAUCAGCUGCUCACUUUGCAGAGUGA
rnacentral:lncRNA from 1 species